rnacentral:lncRNA from 1 species
GGCCCCGGAAAGGCUGGUGAGACUCAGCGAGGAGCGUCUCCGUGACGGGACAGUCUCUAGGCCCGCCUCUCCACCUGGGGAUGGAGGAAAUAACAUCCCAAGAAGCAGCAGAAUCACCAAGGGUCCAGUUUCAGUCUUUGGAGAGCCAGUCUGAAUGUCUUUCCCCAGAGCUUCGGUUUCUGCGGGACACAGAGAUGGAGCAGGGAUACACUGAUGGCGAUCUCUGCUCUGGAUCAGUAUGUUCUACGACAGAUUCUGAAGGACCACCUGAGUGAUGUCACCGGAGUCCGUUUCAAGAGUGGGAGCCUUGCCAGACUAAAGGCAGUCAGUGCUCUUAACUGCUGAGCCAUCUUUCCAGCCUGAUUAAAAUUGUUUCUAAGGCUUCCCCA